rnacentral:rRNA from 1 species
CUAUAGCUUGACACUGAACAUUGAGCCUUGAUGUGUAGGAUAGGUGGGAGGCUUUGAAGUGUGGACGCCAGUCUGCAUGGAGCCGACCUUGAAAUACCACCCUUUAAUGUUUGAUGUUCUAACGUUGACCCGUGAUCCGGGUUGCGGACAGUGUCUGGUGGGUAGUUUGACUGGGGCGGUCUCCUCCUAAAGAGUAACGGAGGAGCACGAAGGUUGGCUAAUCCUGGUCGGACAUCAGGAGGUUAGUGCAAUGGCAUAAGC